UACGGGGGGGGGCAAGCGUUGUUCGGAAUUACUGGGCGUAAAGGGCUCGUAGGCGGCCAACUAAGUCAGACGUGAAAUCCCCAGGCUCAACUUGGGAACUGCGUCUGAUACUGGAUGGCUUGAAUUCGGGAGAGGGAUGCGGAAUUCCAGGUGUAGCGGUGAAAUGCGUAGAUAUCUGGAGGAACACCGAUGGCGAAGGCAGCCCCCUGGGAUAACACUGACGCUCAUGCACGUAAAGCGUGGGGAGCAAACAGG
rnacentral:rRNA from 1 species